rnacentral:misc_RNA from 1 species
CAACCCUCAAGCCCCAGCGGCCUGGUGUUGGGGGACGGCCGCCUCCACAGCGGAGCGGCCGCCCCCGAAAUGAAUUGGCGGCCUCGGCGCCGCCUCCCCCUGCGUAGUAGCGACAGCAGUCUCGCACCGGGAGCGCGCCGCGGCCACUGCCGUAAAACGCCCAACUUUUUCAACG